CCUAUAAAUAGGGGGACAAAAAACUGAACAAGGCUGUUAAAGAAAUAUUGCUAAUACAAGACUUCUACCGUUAUGGGGAGCAACAACAUGGACGAGAACUUUUUUCUUGACAUUCCAGAUGCCACGCUAGAAGCUUUAAAUUUUGGAUUGGUUGGUUCAGGAAAAUGAAUUCUAUGAUGCUGUUGUAAAACCACCUCUGAUUGGGCCGAUCCAAAAGCGGUGAUAACAAGCCGGAGAGUGUCAGAAGCAGGAAAUCUCCCUCAUUCUACAGAAAGACGGGCAAAGGGUUAAACCAGAAAAGCUGCCUCGCUUUACAAAAAGACUGCAAAGGUAAACAUUUUUUAAUUUUACCCUGAGCUUUAUUGUAUUUUUCUUAGCCACUUUUUU